GUUCUGUUAGCUCAGUUGGUUACAGCGUGAUGCUGAUAAUGCCAAGGUCACAUGUCUGAUCCCUGUAUGGAUGCA